rnacentral:tRNA from 1 species
GGGAGUAGCUCAGUUGGUUAGAGCGCCGCCCUGUCACGGCGGAGGCCGCGGGUUCGAGUCCCGUCUCUC